AUUGAACGCUGGCGGCAAGCCUAACACAUGCAAGUCGAACGAGUGGCGGACGGGUGAGUAAUGUCUGGGAAACUGCCUGAUGGAGGGGGAUAACUACUGGAAACGGUAGCUAAUACCGCAUACCAUCGGAUGUGCCCAGAUGGGAUUAGCUAGUAGGUGGGGUAAAGGCUCACCUAGGCGACGAUCCCUAGCUGGUCUGAGAGGAUGACCAGCCUCACGUGAACUGUGACACGGUCCAUGCUCCUACGGGAGGCAGCAGUGGGGAAUAUUGGCAAAUGGGCGCAAGCCUGAGGCAGCCAUGCCGCUUUGAUGGAGGAGGCCUUCGGGUUUUAAAGUACUUUCAACGGGGGGGCGUUACCCGCAGAAGAAGCACCGGCUAACUCCGUGCCAGCCGCCGCGGUAAUAC
rnacentral:rRNA from 1 species